rnacentral:rRNA from 1 species
UACGUAGGGGGCAAGCGUUGUCCGGAAUCAUUGGGCGUAAAGAGCGUGUAGGCGGCCCGGUAAGUCCGCUGUGAAAGUCGGGGGCUCAACCCUCGAAUGCCGGUGGAUACUGUCGGGCUAGAGUCCGGAAGAGGCGAGUGGAAUUCCUGGUGUAGCGGUGAAAUGCGCAGAUAUCAGGAGGAACACCGGCGGCGAAGGCGGUGCUCUGGGCCAGUAUUGACGCUGAGGAGCGAAAGCGUGGGUAGCAAACAGG